rnacentral:lncRNA from 1 species
AUUGAAGGCAGAAAGAAGAGGAAAGAGGGAGGGCUUUCUCUGACUGAGGUUUUUUGGGGGAGGUAAGCUCUUUCUGGUGACUUCUGCUUUCAUCACAUCGGAACUGUGUAUGUCAACUUCCAGCUGCCUUGGUGGGGGUCUUGUGUUUUUAUCAGGGCACACGGCUGCCCUAGAGAGUAAUUGGUGUUGUAUUAAUACAAAAAGAGAGGGCAAUGGGUACUGGAUUGGCACAACAGUAUAUGCCAUGUUAUGCUUUUAUUAUUUUGUUGAUUUUAUUUGGAUAUAAUCCUUUUGAAAUAAUUGCUCCCAUCAAAGUGGUAGUACUUCAUGUGGCUUUGCUGAAAUUUUUUUUUAGUUUCAAAGUUAUGAAAAUAAACUUAAUACUCAUUGUAUUAGCAAGUAAAGGACAAUUGUAAUUUUGUUUUCAACUAUUGCUGUUGAAUGUGAUCCAUUUUUCUCUGACUCAUCUUAGUGUUGUAAACUAGUUAAAAGUCAUGCCAAGUUAGGUGUCUAUUUCACGGAUUUUUAAAACAUCAUUCCACAGCUUCUUAUGAAGCAGCUACUUUUCUAGGGAGAAUGGACAGCAAGAGAUCAGUGGAUGGGAAUGAUAAGAAAUAUCCUCUGACCUCAAAGAGCUUCUAAUCUGCUGGGUCAAGCGGGAGAGCGGUUGGUAACUAUAGUGAAAGGAAGCAUGAAACACAAGCUGGAUAUGGAGGUUAAAGGAAACAUUUCUACAAGUCCUGCGGGAAGAGGGUGACAGGACAUAAAACAGAGAGCUCUGCCAACUCCCAGUGCUUCAAAUAGCCACUUUCAGUGGGUGAAUAUGUUAUGGAUUUUAGUUUCCCCAAAUAAAAUAUUGUAACCUAAUCAAAUUAUCCACCAGUAUGGAAAUAAAUUCUUAAAAAUCAAAGCUUAUAGAGCAGACACUGUCAACCUCUUUUCACACAUCCUCUGACUCAUAUCAUUCAUGUGCACACCCCUUAGAGCGUGGGUGGUUUCUUUUCACAUAAUUAGAAUCAUACUACUCAUUUACAAAUCAGUCACCUCUUUGGAGUGUCUUUUUAGUCCCAUCUGCACAGGGUGUCACACUGAUCCUCAUUGGCAGGAGUAAAUUUUAUGAAGAACUAUGAAUUGGUAUUUGCAUAGAGGGAGCUGUAUUUUCCAAACUGUGGUUGCUACUGCAUCACUGGGUUGGUGAAAUCAAAUUAGGGACAAUGAGCAAUGUAAACAAAGAAAUAGAAUAUAAAAUAUUGGAGCGUAUCAUACAGUAAGGUGCAGUUACUGAACUUGACUCUGUGGUAGCUGUUUAGCUCUGCAGGCAAGAGAAUGCAGAGGAAAUCCUUGAAUUUCAACAGCCUCUCCCUGUGAGUGGGCACAAGUGCAACUGAUUAUCCAAAAGUAGUUGCUUAAACUAAUUUAGACUAUUUAGCUAACCUCAAUCCCAGUGCCGAUCUUAUGUUGCUUAGAAAAUUACCUGUUGGUGAUUAUAAUAAAUGGAGAUGUGGAGUUGGGUGGAGGCCGGCUCAUGGUAGGGAUAGGUAAGCUUAAAACACCAGCCUUUUGAAAAUAACCACUUGUGUUUGAUGAGGACGUUUAUGAAGC